rnacentral:rRNA from 1 species
UACGUAGGGACCAAGCGUUGUUCGGAUUUACUGGGCGUAAAGGGCGCGUAGGCGGCCUGACAAGUCACUUGUGAAAUCUCCGGGCUUAACUCGGAACGGUCAAGUGAUACUGUCGCGCUAGAGUGCGGAAGGGGCAAUCAGAAUUCUUGGUGUAGCGGUGAAAUGCGUAGAUAUCAAGAGGAAUACCUGAGGUGAAGACGGGUUGCUAGGCCGACACUGACGCUGAAGCGCGAAAGCGUGGGGAGCGAACCGG